rnacentral:piRNA from 5 species
UCGCCUGCCACGCGGGAGGCCCGG